rnacentral:lncRNA from 1 species
CAACAGCCUUAUGCAUUCCAUGUGACCAUCAUCCCCAUUGUACAGAUGGGGCAUCUGAGGCUUAGGCUAGUCAGAUAAGUUGGGUUACAGAUGGGCUCCUGUAGCCAAAAUGUAGGGGAGCUGGAAUUUGACUCUAUAGGCCAUAUUCUUUCAACCAAUUUAUUAUCAACAGUAUUCAGGCAUUUCUCUGAGGACAACAUUUGGUGAGGGUUGCUUGAUGACACAGUCAGUGAAAUACCGUAAUUGAUAAGAGGGAUAGAGGGGGCUAAAUGUUUCUUUUGUUGUCUUAUAAAUGACAUACCGUAUUUCCUUGGGUCUCUGCUUCUUCUAUUUGAUUAUGUUUAAGUCUUAAAACUAGUGGGUUCUCCUUGAAAGUGUGAUAAGAAAUUGGAGAAGGAAGUAACCCCACAGAAGAAAGUGAACCAUGACAGCCUAACAGUGUGGGAAUGAAAACACAUAGGUGUCCCUAGAGUCUAAUCGCUUUUGUUAUACUCCAGAGGGAAACUUUGAUACUAAGCAUCAAGAAUUCAGCCCUCCUCCUCAUUUCACAUAUUGGGCAUAUAAUUUGUGUGGGGAUUACAACCUGAAUCUUCUUAGGUACCUCUGGUUUCUGACACAGCAGCAGCCUUUGAAUCACUGAGUGUUUUUUUCCCUGCUGCUUAAUCUCUGGUGCAGCCAAUUUAUAGACGGGAAGAGUUUUUACUUUAUCUGUUCCAACCACACUCCCUCCCACUUUCUGCUUUUGUAGCAGGAAGAAGCUUCAACUUCUCUUGCUCGGUGCAGGUUUGCCGAUGUGUGUGAGCUGUUGUGUGUGUGCAUCUAGACAUUCCUGAAGAUGCUGGAAACAAUGGUGGAAAGUUGGGAGGGUGAGGACCUUUAUUGUGUAACAAACUGAAGGCACCAAGGAGUCUGCAUUUGUUACAGAGAGGAUGGAAGUGUUCUUCCCACACUACUCCUUGUUGGACAGUGGAGUGGAAAUCAUCUGCCAUCCAUGGAGACACCAGGAGUUUGGUGGUCUCCUGAGAGGUGUGCAUGCCAGUGUCUCCAGGCUGCAUUGCUCUCUGGCUGGGAGAGCCAGCGGAAGGUAGACUGGCAGACAUGGUGUCCAAGCCCCAUGCGCCUGUGGGUGGAAGCCAUCCUGAUUCUCUCUGAGAAUUUUUCUCCAGCCCAACCGAGUGAAGAACUUGCUUUUUUCAAUUUGGGAACAGUGGGUAUUUUCAAGUCACCAAUUUGUGUGAACCCAGAUUUACCACCACAUACUAUUAAAAUGACAGUGAAUGAACAGGGAGUGAGAAGUUCCAAGGCAACAAGGAGGAAAUAUAUGCUUUGUAGCUUUCCCUGCUCCUUAAGUCCUUAUUGGCCUCUGCUGAGAUACCUUCUCUCUCAGUGGCUGUGGUUAUCAGCUGUCUCCAAUGCAUCUCAGUUGAUGGAGCAAGUUGUUACUCCUGCCCAGUCCACCACCACUGCUGCUGGCUGCUGGACCACCCGCUAACCAG